GGGAAUUCGAUUAGAGUUUGAUCAUGGCUCAGAACGUACGCUGGCGGCACGCCUAACACAUGCAAGUCGAACGAAGUAGCAAUACUUAGUGGCAGACGGGUGAGUAACAUGUAGGUAUCUGCCCUUUGGCCUGGAAUAACACGAGGAAACUUGUGCUAAUACCGGAUAAGUCUUUACGGAGAAAGCUUUAUGCACCAUUGGAUGAGCCUGCACUUGAUUAGUUUGUUGGUGGGGUAAUGGCCUACCAAGACUGUGAUCAAUAGCUGAUUUGAGAGGAUGAUCAGCCACAUUGGGACUGAGACACGGCCCAAACUCCUACGGGAGGCAGCAGUGGGGAAUCUUGCACAAUGGAGGAAACUCUGAUGCAGCGAUGCCGCGUGAGUGAAGAAGGCCCUUGGGUUGUAAAGCUCUUUCGUCGGGGAAGAAAAUGACUGUACCCGAAUAAGAAGGUCCGGCUAACUUCGUGCCAGCAGCCGCGGUAAUACGAAGGGACCUAGCGUAGUUCGGAAUUACUGGGCUUAAAGAGUUCGUAGGUGGUUGAAAAAGUUGGUGGUGAAAUCCCAGAGCUUAACUCUGGAACUGCCAUCAAAACUUUUCAGCUAGAGUAUGAUAGAGGAAAGCAGAAUUUCUAGUGUAGAGGUGAAAUUCGUAGAUAUUAGAAAGAAUACCAAUUGCGAAGGCAGCUUUCUGGAUCAUUACUGACACUGAGGAACGAAAGCAUGGGUAGCGAAGAGGAUUAGAUACCCUCGUAGUCCAUGCCGUAAACGAUGUGUGUUAGACGUUGGAAAUUUAUUUUCAGUGUCGCAGCGAAAGCGAUAAACACACCGCCUGGGGAGUACGACCGCAAGGUUAAAACUCAAAUGAAUUGACGGGGACCCGCACAAGUAGUGGAGCAUGUGGUUUAAUUCGAAGAUACGCGCAGAACCUUACCAACACUUGACAUGUUCGUCGCGACUUUAAGAGAUUAAAGUUUUCGGUUCGGCCGGACGAAACACAGGUGCUGCAUGGCUGUCGUCAGCUCGUGUCGUGAGAUGUUGGGUUAAGUCCCGCAACGAGCGCAACCCUCACUUUUAGUUGCCAUCAUUAAGUUGGGCACUCUGAAAGGACUGCCAGUGAUAAGCUGGAGGAAGGUGGGGAUGACGUCAAGUCCUCAUGGCCCUUACGUGUUGGGCUACACACGUGCUACAAUGGUAUCUACAACAGGAAGCAAAACGGCGACGUUAAGCAAAUCCUUAAAAGAUACCUCAGUUCGGAUUGCACUCUGCAACUCGAGUGCAUGAAGCUGGAAUUACUAGUAAUCGUGGAUCAGCGUGCCACGGUGAAUGCGUUCCC
rnacentral:rRNA from 1 species